rnacentral:rRNA from 1 species
AAUAUUUGACAAUGGGGGGAACCCUGAUCCAGCCAUGCCGCGUGUGUGAAGAAGGNCUNNGGAUUNUNAAGCACUUUAAGUUGNNNNNAAGAGCAGUUAACUAAUAUUUGACUGUUUUGACGUUACCGACAGAAUAAGCACCGGCUAACUUCGUGCCAGCAGCCGCGGUAAUACGAAGGGUGCAAGCGUUAAUCGGAAUUACUGGGCGUACAGCGCGCGUAGGUGGUUCAGUAAGUUAGGAGUGAAAGCCCCGGGCUUAACCUGGGAAUUGCUUCUAAAACUGCUGAGCUAGAGUACGGUAGAGGGUGGUGGAAUUUCCUGUGUAGCGGUGAAAUGCGUAGAUAUAGGAAGGAACAUCAGUGGCGAAGGCGACCACCUGGACUGAUACUGACACUGAGGUGCGAAAGCGUGGGGAGCAAACAGG